AGAUUGAACGCUGGCGGCAUGCCUUACACAUGCAAGUCGAACGGUAGAGUAGCAAUACUCGAGAGUGGCGAACGGGUGAGUAAUAUAUCGGAACGUGCCCAGUCGUGGGGGAUAACGUAGAGAAAUUUACGCUAAUACCGCAUACGAUCUAAGGAUGAAAGCGGGGGAUCGCAAGACCUCGCGCGAUUGGAGCGGCUGAUAUCAGAUUAGGUUGUUGGUGAGGUAAAAGCUCACCAAGCCGACGAUCUGUAGCUGGUUUGAGAGAACGACCAGCCACACUGGGACUGAGACACGGCCCAGACUCCUACGGGAGCAGCGAGUGGGGAAUUUGGACAAGUGGGACGAAA
rnacentral:rRNA from 1 species